CCAAUUAACAAUAUUGUGAUCGUUUCAGGUGGACAGCAAAGGGCCUCAGCCAUACGUGUGCAUGCGUCCAUUCUCCCCCAGACUCCCCUCCCAUCCAGGCUGUUUUGGGAAGAGAGGCAGGAAUCUGUGCUGCACCAAAAAGUCCAAGCAGGGGGCGGGCCGGAGGACUGCGGUGAGCGUGCCCCUGACGGCCGGGGAGGUGGCGGCUCUCUGAAACUGAGGCAGCGGGCCUUGGAAUUUAAGUCAUUCCAGAAUUCCCUGCCGUCAGGAGCCAUGCAUCCAAUCCGUGCAUGUGUGCGUGCUAAGUCACUCCAGUUGGUUCCAGCUCUUUGUGACCCUAUGGACCACAGCCCAUGGCUCCUCUGUCCAUGAGAUUCUCCAGGCAAGAAUUCUGGAGUGGGUUGCCAUGCCCUCCUCCAGGGGAUCUCCCUGACCCAGGGAUCAAACCCACAUCUUUUACAUCUCCUGCAUUGGCAGGCGGGUUCUUUACCACUAGCGCAGCCUGGGAAGCCCUCCGUAUGUACUGCUGCUGCUAAGUCGCUUCAGUCGUGUCCGACUCUGUGGGACCCCAUAGACGGCAGCCCACCAGGCUGUCCUCCGUCCCUGGGAUUCUCCAGGCAAGAACACUGGAGUGGGUUGCUAUUUCCUUCUCCAGUGCAUGAAAGUGAAAAGUGAAAGUGAAGUCGCUCCGUCGUGCCCGACUCUCAGCGACCCCAUGGACUGCAGCCCACCAGGCUCCUCCUUCCAUGGGAUUUUCCAGGCAAGAGUACUGGAGUGGGGUGCCAUUGCCUUCUCCACAGUAUGUACUGCCUUCCUCAAAAUCACCAUAGUCCCCUAGGGAGGUUGUUUUUAAUGCCGAUUUUCAGGACUCUGCCCAGACCUUCUCCGUCAGAACCUCUAUGGGUGGGGCUAAGGAAUCUACAUUUUUAAUUUUAAUAUGCAUCCACCCUCCCCAUAAAAAUCAGUCCUUUGGCAUAUUAAUAUUUCAGAACCACUGCCUGGCAGGGUGAGGUGGGGGGAAGAAAAGGACCUGUCUCCGUUUGAUGAGAAGGAUUCAUGAACACCCGAGAUUGUAAAUUACAGCAGAGCAUUGUGCAUUCAGGUCGGUUGGGCUGAUGGCUGUUGAGAUGAUCAAAAACCUGCAUGGUGCACCUAUUCCCAUGAUACCUUCUUGACUUUGUCUAACCCAUACGCGAACAUGGGCACCACGUCAUCUGCUUCUCCACAUGCGUUAGAAACAUUCAUCGCUGCUUUCUCGUGGGUCCUUGAAAGUCAGCUCAAUAUUUAGCACGUCUCAAGACCUGCCCCGGUGAGCUGCUUUGAAGGUACAGCGCAAAUCUCUGGGAGCCCCUAACUUCAGGGACACACUGAA
rnacentral:lncRNA from 1 species